CCCACUUACAAUACCCCAUCUUAUAUUUAAGUCAUCUACAAAGGAUUCACCUUGUAAUGGUGAGCAAACCAGGAAAUGCCCAGUUUAAAAAUUGACUAUCUAUAGUGUUUGAAUUACAAUAUGAAGAAGCAUCCUUAAUGGUAAACCAGGUUUAAAUUCCUUGGAAGCGUCUGAGAGGGUGAGAGCCUUGUCAUGGUUGGACCUUGUCGCACCAUGAGAUGAUAUCUACAAGUUGGGUUGUUUGGAAAUAUAGCCCCAAAUUAGGUUAUAAAUUUUGUCCAAAGUUAAAUAUAGACGAGAGACCGUUAACAAAUAAGUACUGCAAGGAAAAUAUGAAAUGGACUUUGAAAAAAAAAUAAAAAAAAUUGUUUAAAAUUGUUGGGAGGGAAGUAAAUGGGGCCUGACGAUGUGCCUCAAGUGGAUAUGGAAUGACAAUAGUCAUUCUAUCGAUUAGAUCGUGGGGUGGACUGAUACGGAUCAUAAUGGCAGCCCAAGCCUAUGCCUUUAAAAUACCCACAAAGACAUCAUGAUUAUGAUCGUGGACUACAACCCGUGUCGUCAUGGCUUGCCUUGGCACAUGUAUAUUUUAGACAUUGACCUACGAGCUUUUGAUUCACCCUAUUUCGAAACAUGAACCAAAAGGUCUAACACGUGUGUGAGUCAACGAGUGAAUAAAACUAUAAGGCGUAAGAAAAUGUAUUGGUAGGACCCUCCCGAGGGUCGCGCUGUCAAGUGACCUUGAUCUUCUAAAAAGGGUUUGAGUGAAAGAAUAAAUGUUAGGACUAGAAAAAUGAUGAAUUAUGCCCAAGCAAGGCAGAGAUAAAGGAAAAUUUGGUGAAGGCCCACAAUGAUAGUGAUGUGCAAAUUGUUUAUAUGAUUUAGGUAUAAGGGGAAAAAACUAAUCGAACCAUCUUGUAGUUGGUUUCCUCUAAAGUGUUCCUCAUGAUAACUAGAGCUCAAUGUGAGUUCUAUCGGGUAAAGACAAUGAUUAAAGGCAUCGAGGGCAUAACUCCCUUAACCUAUUCUCAAACUUUAAAUAUGUAGGGAAGACGUGGCUACUUCAUUGAGUCGUGUCACAUAAUCAAGGGCUCUAAGUGGGCCAUUUUUGGUAAGAGGGAUUGAUGAUGCAGGAUAAAAUAGAAGCCAGGUUAUGGUGCCUAACUACACGCUAACCUAAAACCCACAAAAGGUUAUGGUUAACUAAGAUAGCAAUAUGGUGGUCAUGCAAGUUGAAAUCCAUUAAAAAAUAUGUAACAACUCACUUAUUAAAUCAACUAGCCUUAAAAAUAUAUGGCGUUGAAGCACGAGGCUUAAAAUCAGCUGUCGAGGCAAGUAUAAAGACUCAAUAAGUAGAAAGGUGUGGCGGUUGCUGCAAAUAUUAAGGUGCAAGCUAGGAUGGAGAGGCCAACAAUGCAGAUAUUAGUCGUGGUAGCAUAUAUUAAAUGAGAACUUUAAAGGUUGAAUAAAGGAAAUGAUCCAUGUGAAUGACACUAGUAUAUGGGAUAAUUGAUUCUAAGAGAUGUGAGAAGCCCAUUUGACAGCGCAUUUGCGUGCGGACUUCAAAAGAGAAUCAGGUUAAACUUCAUGAACCAGGAUAUGAUGACUAACAACAUUGUUAGAGAGUCUAGAGAUAUCGACAAGGGCCUCGAAAAAAGUUAUCUUUUAUACUUAACAGCUUGCCCACCUUUAAAAUGACUUAGUCACAAAUAUGAUUCAACGACUAGAAAAACACAUUGUAUGGUGUUUGGGGUGCCUCUUGUGAUCGAGGACCAAGUGCCUCCCACGUUCGGUUGUACUCACAUGUGCAUUAGGUCUCCAAAGCGAAGUGGAUCUGUAAUCUCGGGA
rfam:Populus trichocarpa scaffold_1_contig_458, whole genome shotgun sequence.